AUUUUAACUGUGAAUGUCAUAAUGUUGUUAGUAUUUACUGUAAAAAAAAACACACAUAUUUGUGUUCAGUGAUGUCUUACGAGUAAAACAGUACCCUUAUCUACAGGUCUUAUGGGGUUUUGUAAAGUUACUCGGUCAAAUACAGAUCUUUUUCCAUUUUCAGUUUUUACAAAUUGAAAUUUGCCAGAUGGGUUUGCCUUUGAGACUAUAUCGCAGCCCAGAAAUGAAAAUUACCCCCAUCAUGGUAUACCAUUUGCAAAAGUAGACAAUGCAGGGUAUUUAAAAUGGGGUAUGUCCAGUCUUUUUUAGUAGCCACAAACCCUCGCCAAAGUUUCCGUUCAUAUUUGUUUUUAUAUAAAUAGUACCUAUGUUAAUAAUAUUGAAUAUUCACGGAUAGAGUCCCAAUGACGAAAAUGUGUUAUUAUUAAACUAAUAUAAGCUGAAUGUGUGUACAAGACAUGUAUAUAUCACAUGCUGUCACAUUACUAAGUACUACACAUAGUUUAACAUAAUGAGACAGUGUAACUAAAAAAACAGACACAGGAUUGCCAGAAAGAGAUAAUACUAAAGUAAUUAAGUUUACUUUUUAAAUUUAAUGGAUUGCUACAAGGUUCCAUUGUAUUAGAGAAGGUAAACACCUCCCCCCUCUCCAAUACCCUAGAGGGAAGGACGAACACACACAAGGGAAAGGCGAGAGUAUCCCCAACUGACAGAUACCCAGUAGAACUAUCUGAAGCGGACCAAUGCUCUCGCUCCCCCACAACCCUGGCGGGCACCAAACAGACCAUUACCACACUAGUGACACACUCGACUAGCAGAGACCAGAAACCUGUCACACUGGCACACAACAUGACUAAACACAGUCCCCACAAGUCAAGAGGGCAAAUCAACCCGCCAGAGAACAUAGCUCAUCCUACAAUAUUUGUGUUAAUCCCCUCAGGCGGUACUAUACCCGCAACUUACCUAU